AGAGAUUUGAGGAAGGAUACUUCCCUUCCAUCAUGCAGCAAACAUGUCAUCUGUGCAACUUUACAAAAACAAAAUGUGAAGACCACACACUUGACUUGACCGAGCCUCUGUAAAUGUGCUUGAUGUGAGCUGGUCUGAAAGGCCACGUGUCUGAAAGGGUCCUUUAGUGUAAAAUUUAAUUCUACAUGCUUAUCCCAUUAUUACAUAAUUCCUA